AUACGUAGGGUGCAAGCGUUAAUCGGAAUUACUGGGCGUAAAGCGUGCGCAGGCGGCUUUGUAAGACAAAGGUGAAAUCCCCGGGGUCAACCUGGGAACCGCCUUUGUUACUGCAAGGCUUGAGUAUCGCAGAGGGGGGUGGGAUUCCUCGUAUAGCAGUGAAAGGCGUAGCUAAGCGGGGGAACACCGAUGGCUAAGGCAAUCCAGCGGGACUGAAAUGAUGCUCGUGCACGCAAGAGCGGGGAGAACACAGAGUUAUAUACGCCGGUAGUCAACGCACUUAAGGAUGUCAACGUGUUGUUGGGACUUCCUUGACUCAGUGACGAAGCUGACGCGUAAAGUUGACCACCUGGGAAGUUCGGUCUCAAGGCUGAAGCUCAAAGGAAUUGGCGGGG
rnacentral:rRNA from 1 species